AAACAAUUGAUUUGCACCUGGGGCCACCAUCUGUGUGUAUUUGCACAACCUCCCCAUAGCUGCAUGGGUUUUCUCUGAGUACUCUAGUUUGCUCUCUCAUUCCAAAGUCAUGCACAUUAGGUUAAUUGGCAUGUCUACAUGGACUCAGUGUGAGUGAAUGUGAGCAUGGGUGUGAGUGUGCUCUGCCAUGAGAGAUUGUCCUGUUCAGGGCUGGUUCCCACCUCACUCCGUGAGCUGCUGGGAUGGGCUCUGGCCACCCAUGACCAUGAACUGGAAAUAAGCAGGUAUGGACAAGGUUCUGACCCUUAUUAUUGGAACUCAAAUCCAGAUGGAGUUUGCUCCUGGUAACCUCGAUUCUACAUUGUCUCUACAAAUUUGCCUAUUCUAGGGUACCUAAUUUGGGACUUCACAUCAUUGGAAGGUGAAUAGAAAAGUAUGUCUUAAGAAUUUCACCAUGUUUUGGAAGAAUUGCAGCAAGAAAAAAAGAACUCCUUUGUUUCCACCCCAUUUCUUUUAAGGAAAACCUGGAAUAUCUGAGGGUGCAAGCUGAGAAAAGUCUGCUUAUCUGUUCCCUACUCUGGCAAUCAAAAAGGAUCCAAGUCUACUGUUCUCUUCUCCUGGCACUCUUAACUUGCACACAUUGCAACCUUUUAUGGCAAAGUAAUGGUCAAGCUAUCCUAACAAGGACGAGCCCUUAUUAAAUAAUUCACUGUGGUUGGGAAAUGGUGAGGAAGCCAUCUUCUUUUGUCUUCUUUUCUCUGAAAAUAAAAUUUUGUCUAAUUUUGUAUUAAGGACAUUUGGGCUUCACUUUAUUACAUUCUCUACUUUCUUUAAUAGCUCGAAGCUCAUGACAGUACAUGUCUGGUCUUGCAAAACAAGAUGAAUUUGUUAAAUUAAACUUUUAAAAAAAA
rnacentral:lncRNA from 1 species